UCACAAGUAUGUCGGAAUAAAUCUGUCUGACUGUUAAUCAGAGGGUCGCUGGUUCGAGCCCAGCCUGAGGAGCAA
rnacentral:tRNA from 2 species